AUCGAUGAAGAACGCAGCGAAAUGCGAUAAGUAAUGUGAAUUGCAGAAUUCAGUGAAUCAUCGAAUCUUUGAACGCACAUUGCGCCCAUUAGUAUUCUAGUGGGCAUGCCUGUUCGAGCGUCAUUUCAACCCUUAAGCCCUCGUUGCUUAGUGUUGGGAAUAUACAGCGAUGUAGUUCCUUAAAGUUAGUGGCGGAGUCGGUUCACACUCUAGGCGUAGUAAAUUUUAUCUCGUCUCUGUAGUUGGAUCGUCCCCCGCCGUAAAACACCCCAAUUUUUAAAGGUUGACCUCGGAUCAGGUAGGAAUACCCGCUGAACUUAAGCAUAUCAAUAAGCGGAGGAAAAGAAACCAACAGGGAUUGCCCUAGUAACGGCGAGUGAAGCGGCAACAGCUCAAAUUUGAAAUCUGGCUUUCGGGUCCGAGUUGUAAUUUGUAGAGGAUGCUUUUGGCGCGGUGCCUUCCGAGUUCCCUGGAACGGGACGCCUUAGAGGGUGAGAGCCCCGUACGGUUGGACACCAAGCCUCUGUAAAGCUCCUUCGACGAGUCGAGUAGUUUGGGAAUGCUGCUCUAAAUGGGAGGUAAAUUUCUUCUAAAGCUAAAUAUUGGCCAGAGACCGAUAGCGCACAAGUAGAGUGAUCGAAAGAUGAAAAGCACUUUGAAAAGAGGGUUAAAUAGCACGUGAAAUUGUUGAAAGGGAAGCGUUUGCGACCAGACCUUUUCCUAGCGGAUCAUCCGGUGUUCUCACCGGUGCACUUCGCUAGGUCGAGGCCAGCAUCGGUUUUCGUAGGGGGAUAAAAGCCUUGGGAACGUAGCUCCUUCGGGAGUGUUAUAGCCCUUGGCAUAAUACCCUUACGGGGACCGAGGACCGCGCUUUUUGCAAGGAUGCUGGCGUAAUGGUCGUCAACGACCCGUCUUGAAACACGGA
rnacentral:rRNA from 1 species